rnacentral:rRNA from 1 species
GAUGAACGCUGGCGGCGUGCCUAAUACAUGCAAGUCGAGCGAACGGACGAGAAGCUUGCUCCUCUGAUGUUAGCGGCGGACGGGUGAGUAACACGUGGAUAACCUACCUAUAAGACUGGGAUAACUUCGGGAAACCGGAGCUAAUACCGGAUAAUAUUUUGAACCGCAUGGUUCAAUAGUGAAAGACGGUUUUGCUGUCACUUAUAGCUGGAUCCGCGCUGCAUUAGCUAGUUGGUAAGGUAACGGCUUACCAAGGCAACGAUGCAUAGCCGACCUGAGAGGGUGAUCGGACACACUGGAACUGAGACACGGUCCAGACUCCUACGGGAGGCAGCAGUAGGGAAUCUUCCGCAAUGGGCGAAAGCCUGACGGAGCAACGCCGCGUGAGUGAUGAAGGUCUUCGGAUCGUAAAACUCUGUUAUUAGGGAAGAACAUAUGUGUAAGUAACUGUGCACGUCUUGACGGUACCUAAUCAGAAAGCCACGGCUAACUACGUG